ACUCCUACGGGAGGCAGCAGUGGGGAAUAUUGGACAAUGGGGGCAACCCUGAUCCAGCCAUGCCGCGUGAGUGAAGAAGGCCCUAGGGUCGUAAAGCUCUUUCAACUGUGAAGAUAAUGACGGUAGCAGUAGAAGAAACCCGCUAGCUACCCGUGCCAGCAGCCGCGGUAAUACGGAGGGGGUUAGCGUUGUUCGGAAUUACUGGGCGUAAAGCGCACGUAGGCGGACUAUUAAGUUAGAGGUGAAAUCCCAGGGCUCAACCCUGGAACUGCCUUUAAUACUGGUAGUCUUGA
rnacentral:rRNA from 1 species